AAAAGUGAUCUGUGCCUCUGCAGUCCUGUGUGCAGAGUGUGUCUGUAGGCCCCUCAUUCAAAGGUCCUUCAUGCAGUACUGCGUGAGCCAGUACAAGUAAAGGAGGCAAAGCUCACUCAAACUGUGGAAUAUCACCAGUCUCCCAGAAGCCUUCCAGAGCUGCCCCUCUACAGGUCUCCUGCUUCAGGACCCCAUGAGGUUCCCAGGGCCUCCUCUGCUAGCUCAGAGCACACACCAGCUCUGCAAAGCCUCGUGCAUGCCUCUCUUUUGAGCUGGGGUCCCAGGCCCCCUUUGUUUAAUGCUGUUA